CCCCUCCUGGUCCAACUCCACCAGGUCCAACUCCUCCUGGUCCAACUCCACCUGGUCCAAGUCCUCCAGGUCCGACCCCUCCCGGUCUGACUCCUCCUGGCCCAAACCCUGCAGGUCCUUGAGCACCAAAGGAAUACGAUAAUUAUAAGCUCCUGCUCCUAGACCAACACCAGUUCCACCUGGUCCACCUCCACCACCAGGCUGAAAUCCUGCCCCAGCUCCUCCAGGGCCGAAUCCUGUUCCAGGUCCACCUGGUCCAAACCCUGUUCCAGGCCCUGCACCAGCUCCUACACCAGUUCCACCUCCUCCUGCUGCACCACCAGCUGGUGCUGCUGAGUACCACAUGCACAUGCAGUAGAAGAUACACCCACCUCCUUGCAGUGAGGGCUUCCACAGAGCCAGGAGAAGAACUCCAUGUAGACCUGUGACAGACUGUGUACCCCUUCUCUUACCUGUUGACGGCAGCGGCUCCAGUCCCCCAUGGACAAACUGUCUGUUCUCACUGUGAAGCAAGG
rnacentral:lncRNA from 1 species